GUAUUUUUAGCUCACCUGUCACAAAGUGACAAGGUGAGCUUUUGUGAUCGCGCGGUGUCCGUCGUCCGUCGUCCGUCCGUAAACUUUUGCUUGUGACCACUCUAGAGGUCACAUUUUUCAUGGGAUCUUUAUGAAAGUUGGUCAGAAUGUUCAUCUUGAUGAUAUCUAGGUCAAGUUCGAAACUGGGUCACGUGCCAUCAAAAACUAGGUCAGUAGGUCUAAAAAUAGAAAAACCUUGUGACCUCUCUAGAGGCCAUAUAUUUCAUAAGAUCUUCAUGAAAAUUGGUCAGAAUGUUCACCUUGAUGAUAUCUAGGUCAAGUUCGAAACUGGGUCACGUGCCAUCAAAAACUAGGUCAGUAGGUCUAAAAAUAGAAAAACCUUGUGACCUCUCUAGAGGCCAUAUUUUUCAUGAGAUCUUCAUGAAUAUUGGUCAGAAUGUUUACCUUGAUGAUUUCUAGGUCAAGUUCGAAACUGGGUCACGUAGGGUCAAAAACUAGGUCAGUAGGUCUAAAAAUAGAAAAACCUUGUGACCUCUCUAGAGGCCAUAUUUUUCAUGAGAUCUUCAUGAAUAUUGGUCAGAAUGUUUACCUUGAUGAUAUCUAGGUCAAGUUCGAAACUGGGUCACGUAGGGUCAAAAACUAGGUCAGUAGGUCUAAAAAUAGAAAAACCUUGUGACCUCCCUAGAGGCCAUAUUUCUCAAUGGAUCUUCAUGAUUAUUGGUCAGAAUGUUCACCUUGAUGAUAUCUAGGUCAAGUUCGAAACUGGGUCACGUGGGAUUAAAAACUAGGUCAGUAGAUCUAAAAAUAGAAAAACCUUGUGACCUCUCUAGAGGCCAUAUUUCUCAAUGGAUCUUCAUGAAAAUUGGUCAGAAUGUUCACCUUAAUGAUAUCUAGGUCAAGUUCGAAACUGGGUCAUGUGGGGUCAAAAACUAGGUCAGUAGAUCUAAAAAUAGAAAAACCUUGUGACCUCUCUAGAGGCCAUAUUUCUCAAUGGAUCUUCAUGAAAAUUGGUGAGAAUGUUCACCUUGAUGAUAUCUAGGUCAAGUUCGAAACUGGGUCACGUGGGGUUAAAAACUAGGUCAGUAGGUCUAAAAAUAGGAAAACCUUGUGACCUCUCUAGAGGCGAUAUUUUUCAAUGGAUCUUCAUGAAAAUUGGUCAGAGUGUUUACUUUGAAGAUAUCUAGGUCAAGUUCGAAACUGGGUCACGUGGGGUUAAAAACUAGGUCAGUAGGUCUAAAAAUAGAAAAAACCUUGUGACCUCUCUAGAGGCCAUAUUUCUCAACGGAUCUUCAUGAAAAUUGGUCAGAAUGUUCAGCUUGAUGAUAUCUAGGUCAGGUUUGUAACUGGGUCAUGUGCGGUCAAAAACUAGGUCAGUAGGUCGAAAAAUAGAAAAACCUUGUGACCUCUCUAGAGGCUAUAUUUUUCACGAGAUCUUCAUGAAAAUUGGUGAGAAUGUUCACCUUGAUGAUAUCUAGGUCAAGUUUAAAAGUGGGUCACGUGCCUUCAAAAACUAGGCCAUUAGGUCAAAUAAUAGAAAAACCUUGUGACCUCUCUAGAGGCCAUAUUUUUCAAUGGAUCUUCAUGAAAAUUGGUCAGAAUUUUUUAUCUUGAUGAUAUCUAGGUCACAUGUGCUCAAAAACUAGGUCACUAUGUCAAAUAAUAGAAAUAAUGACAUCAUACUCAGUUCAACACUGGGUCAUGUGGGGAUAGGUGAGCGAUUCAGGACCAUCAUGGUCCUCUUGUU